AUAGAAGUUCAGUUUACAUUUUCAGUUUAGUUCAAAUCUCGCAGAACUGUCACGUCAGUAUUACUUACUUACCUUUUGAUAAUAAACGUUUAUUAUUAUUAUAUGUUAUUUUUAAAUCUCCUAUCCGGAGGAUCCUUGUCUAAUAUGAGAGAAGUACUAGAUAGAAGUAAUUGGGGAUAUUUUUGUCCUGUGCUGUUAGUAUGUUAUGACAGAGACCGUAUUUUGAAAUGAAAUAACAAGAAACAACAGAUAACACUUAUGCAAUGUUCAGAGCAACAAAAACUGUAUACACUUUAUUGCUCUAAGCAUUUUAUCAGGCAUUUUGAACUUUUCUUAUAAACCUUAUUAACUACAUAACACCAUGAAAUAUGGGUAAAAUAAUAAUAAAAUAUAGAUCCUUGGUGUGAAAGUGAUAAUUUUAAUAAAUAUUAUCCCAUUAAUUCAACAAAAGCACACAAGGGCACAUACAUAGUAGUGUGUAUUUGUGUUGAAUCUAAGACAGGAGAGCAGCUGCCCAUCCUCUGCCCCUGGUGAUACCAAUGCCAUCGAAUAAUAUUUACAGAACUCGAGAAGCAAGUAAUAUGCUAUAUAGGCUAAGUCCCUGUUCCGCCGAUACGUCAUAUAAAUCUCGGAAAAACAGCGAGUGUUCGCGCAUGUGACGGUUUUUUAUUGUUCCUGUAGACACGUGGUUAUAAACAAUGAAUAAAACAAAUUCAAGGAUAUAAAAUGCAUUUUCCUUCUUCUUAAAGAUGUUUCAGUAGCUCUAAAUUGUAUUUAAUGAUGUGAUCUGUUUAUUUUUCCUGUCUGGAUUCUUUUAGACUGUAAAUCUAUGUAAUCUAAUCUUAUUUGGCUUUCUUGUUCAACAAUUGAAUAAGGCAAAGUAGAUAAACUUACUACACAGAGAUACUUCAAAAGUUAAGUGGACCCAUUUUUAAAUACAAAAAAUCAUAUGUGAUUAAUGUAUCUAUUGUAUUCUAUUUAUUGUAUACGAGCUCACUGUUAGAAGGUUUUAUAAUCUAUUUGUUGUGUAAAUUGAAUCAUAUAUAACAUAUAAGUCUUUUUCAGUGAAAAUUUUCAAUAAUCCUAAAAGAUAAAUAAAG